rnacentral:tRNA from 1 species
UGGAGAUGCCGGGGAUCGAACCCGGGACCUUUCACAUGCAAAGCGGACGCUCUACCACUGAGCUACAUCCCC